AGUUCUUGUAAUUGGGCCUUUGACUUUGAUGAUCUGAUUAUCUUUUUCUAUUUGUGUUGGAAUGAACACUUACCAUGGAUGUUUGUUGGACAUAUUGUGAAGCUUCAGGUUUUAUUACUUUUCUACUCACUAUUUUUCUUAUUUGCUCGAUUUGGAAUGUCUACAGUUUCUCUUAUUGGCUGGAUAGUUGGAAGGUAUUUCAUUGUAUGUAUCUAAGCAAGAGUGAUGCGUCUAGGUCCUCCAUCAUCUACCGUUAUUGAUUAUAGUUUUCUUGAAUUCAUUGGCCUUACAGGAAAGCUAAGCAAUGAAGUGUGGUGUAGGAUGUAAAAAUGGUGGGUCGAAAUUCUGUGGUGAAGCUAAAUGUUUCUUUCACCAGGACAUUGUUGUGUUCAACUGAUUUAAUUUUUAACUGGCUCAACUUGUCGGUUUGAUUAUAAUCUUGUUUGUAACUUGUUGGUUUGAUUAUAAUCUUGGUUGUAUUUUGAUAAUGUAUGUUUCUAAGAGGCAUUGUGGGAUGAGAAUGAGACAAGUACAGUUGAACUUUACUCUUUGAUUUGAUGGUUUGCUUCUUGGUUUGAAAAGUUCUACUAUUUAAUUUUGAUGACUUCUCUGCAUAAUUCUAUAAUAUAGGUCUUUUGUUCUAUAUAGGUCUUUUGUUCUUUUAAUAAUUUUCCAAAACCUUUCGAUUCAUUAUUCUUGAUCCCGAACAUAUGGGUUGAGUUGUGAACUUCUUUGGACUUUUUGCAUGUAACUCUUACGCUGAAAUUAGUAUAAGAAUGAUCCUGAAAUUGAAAUUGUUUAAAUGCUUCACUUUUGUUUCAACAAUCUCCAUAUGUGUUUCUCGUUCCUUGAGUUUUGAAAUUUGCAUUUAUUUGUUUGCAACACAUUGAGUCUUUAUCUGAGGUUUCUCUUUCAGUUGAUUAACUCAACCAGUGAUGGAAUAUAGUGGGACGACUAACAUGUCUAUUCAAGCAGUUAUAGAUUUUUUUUCUUUUUUUUCCUUUAUUGUUUAUUGAGUUGAGUGUUUUCAAAAUAUUUCUGUAGCCACUUGGGAUUGAAAGUCCAACGUUAUGCCUGACAUUGGAUAAUUGGACUUCUUUUAUUAGUUUUCCAAACCGUUCAUUUUUUUCAUAUUUGUUCUAUUUGGACAGGAAUUGUAGGUGAGAAAGAUAAUGGAGUUUUGGAGGUGAAUUUGUUUAAUAUUUGUUCUAUUUGGACAGGAAUUGUAUGUGAAAAAGAUAAUGAAGUUUUGGAGGUGAAUUUGUUAAUUCCAGUGAAAACGACGAAGAACUCUUGAUAAAGUAAUUUUCUUUGUUAUUAUAUUUCUCUACCCAAUCCAGGUGUUGCAUUAAUCCCUUUGCAGCAUACAGAACUGUAACCGAUCUUAAGUUUGUAUGCAACGAUGUUUUUGGAAAUUUUGUGUCACAAACUUAUUAUUAGGAGACUACGACUUCCUUGGUUUUAUCUGAUCAUUCUGGACUUGCUAUCUUCUUCUGUGGGUUUUGGUUAGGUUUCAAUUUUCAGUAAUGUCUGGUAUGUUGACAGUAUUGGAUUUCCUUGUUUGCAUUUCAAAAACUGAACCAAUCUCAAGGCAUUACGCUUCUAUAGUUGGAGUAGUAUGAGACAACUUUGUUUCUCUGAAAUUUAGAGAGUCUCUUUAAUAUUGCAUGGUAAUUUUUUUAUACGAUGUACAAGUAUAUCCAGUUUUAUUUGGAUAUUUUUUAGCAACAAUGCUUUUGGAAUAGGAUUUGUUUGAGCGCUACCAUGAGAAAGUUCAAUUUGAAACGACAACCACUCAUAAUAGCCUAAUUUCUUCUAUAUGAGGUUUCCCCUUUUAUUUAACUUCUAAGGAAUUGAUUACCAACAUUAGGAUUGAAUUGUGAUUUGUUUUUCUACAGUGGUUUAUGAUUGUAUUCAAACAAUGUUUGGAUCUCAUCGAACCUUUAAUGAGUUGAUUUCUGAGUUUAAGAAUUCGUCUAAUAUUUUCUAAAAUUCCUCCCAUGGAACAAGUGUUUUAAGUUUUCUUGAAUUUUUUCUAUUUACCGGUAAGACAAGCAAUGGAUGUGUGAGGACAUGUAGAAACAUGCGGAUCAAUUAAAGCCUUAGUUUGUGUUAAUUCGUGACUAGCUAUUUGAAUGCAGUUUUUUAUGUGGUGACAAAGAUCUAUCAAAAUAAAAAAAUUGGUUUAGGAUUUCCUCUCUAUUUGAUAUUUUCAGAUUUGAUCACCAAAUAUAAGGAUUUUCCGUUACCAUUUGUUUUUCUGCAGUGAUGUUUGCAUUAUGUUUCAUGCUACGUCUAAUGGAUCAUGUUGUCUGGAAGGUUUUAUGGCUCUUGGUAACAGGCUUUACAAGUGCUUCAGAGGAUCAGUAGUUUCAGAGCUGAUACCUAUUAUCAUAAUUGUGUCUCGCAGUGUGAAUUGUUCAAGUUUAUUUAUUUGCAAAAGGGAUCAGUUCUCCAAUAAUUUUUGCAGAAGAUUGGAUGGCUAACAUUAUUGUUCGUUCAUUUGAUCCAGUAAGAGCUCAUUCUAGAAAUGUGGACUUCUCUUUAAAAGCCUUUAGUAUGUUUACUAUCUUCAAAAGAUAUUUUUUCUGGAUCUAUUGUUUUGACAGAGCAGGUCUUCGAGGAAGUCACGGGUCUCUUAGAUUUGGAAUUGUUCAAGUACCAUCAACAUGAUUUCAUGAUCUCUUAUGAUUUCCCCUGAAUUUUUGGUUGUUGUUUUGACAGGGUAGGGUUUGGGUAGAGUUUGGGUUUUUGGAUUAGGAAUUGUCCAACUACCAACAAUGUGUAAACCCUAAACCCUAAACCCUAAAUAUAUAUAUAUAUAUAUAUUUUUGCUAGUUUUAUUUUUCAUUGAAUUACUUAAUUGCUUUAUUAAUAUGAUCAUUUGAUUAUAAAAUUAUUCUUGGUAGUUAUAUAAUUAUUCAUGGUUGUUUUAUUACCUUUAAUAGUUAUUGUUGUUGGAAAAGUAAUCUAGAAGUCCUUUGUUGGCUAAUGAUUCUCUAACAUUUUUUUUUUAAAUUUCAUAGUAGUUGUAUUUUGCUUUGACAAUUUAGUUUAGUUUUUUUAUUGAUUCCUGCAUCGACAAAUGAAUUUUGAACUUGUUCUUGCAUAAUUUAUCAUGGGAUAAAAUGAAUUGGUGGUGUAGGUUUGGAAAACAGUGGAUCUGGACCCUGUGGAACUUUGGUUUUAUUCUGUGUUUAUUAUUUUCUUUGAUGCUAUUAUGCACGGAUAAACUUGUGGACUGGGAAUGCUUACCUCUUUAUGACAGGCAUUGUAAACGUCUGUGUCAGCCAUUUAAUUUUCUCUUUCUAGUUCACACUCAGACAUUUCUUUCAGCAACUGAGUCAUUUAAUCGCAAAGAGAGUUUUGUUUCCUUUCAUGUUCUUUGUUGUCAAUACAACCUUUGUUUCUUUCUUAUCAGCUAUAGUAUUUAAUUCAAUGCGAUCUCAGGAUGUGUUACUUGGAAGUGAUGUGGUUAUUCAUUCGAGGAUUGAUGUGUUAUUUGGAAGUGAGGUGAGGCUAUCUGAAUACCGGAAGGAGAUCCAUUCUCUUUGAUGACAGAUGCCUACUUGAGUUUGGAUGUAGUUAUUUAUUUGAUGACAGAGAUCUAUCAUAUGUAACUUUCUGUUAGUUCCUUUUCAACAGGGGAUUCUGGUUGAGGAUUAAAAAACAUAAAUUUGAAUAUUGUUUUUGUCUAAUUAUUGAAAUAUGACAAAUCUAGCGGUUUGAUAUGUGAAUAUGUUGAUUCUUUUUCAGCAAAUCAUAGGUUAGUAACAAUAAAAUGCUCAGGGAAGAUGUCUCCCCUCUAUUUGAAACUUUGUGGAUUGAGCGUAUUUUUCCAGACUGAUAUGUGAGGUAGGAUGUGGAAACACUUACCAGGACAUUUGUGAAGCUUUAGGUUUUGUUACCCUUACCAUUCUUGUGUCUUUAUUUGUGACUGACUAAACUUCUUGUUUGGAUUCUAAGUUUUGGUUGGAUUCAUUGCUAACCUUGUAGUUUGACUGGCAGUCUGGCAAUUCUUGUGGGUUUAGAGGUCGUGUAAUUUGGGGAGGACUUGUCUGGCAGAAUUUUUAACUACUUAUAUGAAGUACUGAAUUAAUAGUGAAAAAAAGAUAAAAAAAAUAUAUCAUGGCUAUUAAAAGUUUAUGUUUCUUGUCCUGUUCAGCCAUGACACUUGUGUGAACACUUGCUUCUUUCUCUAUUGCCCCAUAUGCAUUUUUUUCACAAUUUUUACUCUUUUUUAAGUUAUCCAUUUCUAAGUAAUUUAGGCUUCUCGUAGCUUUUACCAGUCCUGGAUUCAUAGUGAAAUUUGAACCUUUUACAUGGUGCAAUUGAAAUUAAGGAGUGAAUUAUUGAUCUUUAGUUUUACAGUACUGAAUUAAUUUUGGAUUUGCUUUGGUGUAGCAAAUUUGAAAGGUCAUUUUCUUAGUUAUUACUUCAUUUACUAAAUAAUCAAGAGCAUUGGACAAUUUGAUUUUGUAGUGUUUUGUUUGCUGCAUUGACAAAUGAAUCUUGCAUUGUAUUGUUUUUAAUAGUUCUGGAUUACAUUCUGAAUAUGACAUAUGAUGAUCUCUUCUAUCUUCCAAUAUGAGAAUGAUCUGCAACAUUAGAGUUGUAUUUAGUUCUAUCUCCAAAGGGAGAAUGAGAAAUUGAGAGCUCUAUUUAGUUUUAUCUCCAAUUAUCUCUAAUAUGAGAAUGAGAAACAACAGUAGUUGGAAUGUUUUCUGGCAAUCUUCCUGUGCUAUGAUUCAGUUCUCUCUCCAUAUAUGAGAAUAAGAAAAUGAGAAAGAGAAACAAGAUUAUUUGGAAUGUUUUUUGUCGUAAUCUUCUUGCACUAUGAUUCGGUUCUCUCCCAAUAUGCGAAUGAGAAACAACAAUAUUUGGAAAGUUGUCAUAAUCUUCUUGCGUUAUAUGAUUCGGUUCUGUCCCCAAUAUGCGAAUGAGAAGAUGAGAAACAACAGUAUAUGAGAGCUCCAUUUAGUUCUAUCUCCAAAUGAGAAACAACAGUACAUGAGAGUUCUAUUUAGUUUUAUCUCUAAUAUGAUAAAGAAGCGAAACAAAAGUAUUUGGAUUGUUCUCUUUGUAAUCUUCGUGUGCUAUGAGCAACGCCUCCCCUCGAGGCUAUGGUAACGGGUGAUGCCUCUCUAUUCCAACAUGAGAUCUCUAUAUAUUAUGUGGAAGCAGACACCAUCUUUUUGUCGUCUAUAUUUCUCAGCUCUUGCUGAUUUUGCCGUGCUGUUUUCUUGAUUUACCAUGCUUUUUUUUAUCAGCAAAGAAUGAAAUUAAAUUAAGAGGGAUACAAAAGGGGUAUCUCAACUCUUUUACAUAAACCAAACCACAUUAAGAAUCUCCAAGAAUAAAGAGAUGAAUAAACACCACAGAAGCAAUAGAUAGAUAAUGUUUGUUGCAUAAGUUAAACAUCCUAUUUCAGCUAGCACCGUGCUUGUAUUGGAAUGCUAUAAGCACUGCAAACUGCAGCUACAAAACCAUCAAAAUACACCAAAAUUGGUUGUCUCCACCACCUCAUUGACAUUCCUUCUACCCAACUUGCAGUGGCACGAUUGUAGCACUUGUCACAGAAUUAAUCACUUCAAUGCAGCAUCUUCCAUUCACUCCUUUUUGGACUUUGGCUUCUCCUUGUUUGCUCCUUUCAAGCUCACUUUUAACAGAAACCAAGUUCCUACUUGCCAAGGUCUAUCUCGCACUUAGAUUGGUUGGAGUUUACAACUUCGAGUUACAUCCCCCAACAUGUCUGAAUCCCCACCACAACCUCUACUGCUACCAUCUACAUGUGAGACCACUAGUUGAUCAGCAAACACACUUAGGGAUUUCCACAACAACCAAAACACCACAUAAAAAAACACAGUUUUUGUUUCCUGCAUAAAGAACCCUGAACCAGCAUACACCUUGCCUCUAUUGGUCUGUUAUAAGACACAUCAAAACAGAAUCUUUCAUCAUGUCCUUAACAUUCCUUUUGACUCCCUUGCAUACAAGCACAUAUGUCCUUUCCAUCUUGCACUAGCUGCAGGCCGUGACAAACCCACCAACACCUCCAACCAACUAUAAAUCCAGUAUAGGUCGUAGUCUUAAAACUCUUGGCACCUGGGAGUACUAAUUAUAACUUCUAAUGCAAAGCAUUGGAUUAAGAAUCCAGUCUACGAAAGAAUAAGUAAAGAAAUGCACCUUGUGUUUCAUCCAAAGCCAGGAUUUGAGUUGAGCCUUCUGAAACACCUCCUCCGCAUCUACUAGCCCUUUUUUGAAUACAAUCAGGUUCCUUUGGUCCCAGAUACACCUAAUAACAGAUGCCCAAACACCUUUCCAUACCAGGUUUUGCUUCUUACUAGCAUUGCUCAGAUAAAAACUCAUAAAGUGCAUAAUUAAAUCAUUUUGUUGAACAGAAGAGAUACCUAUCCAUUUGAAGCACAAGGACCAUACCCAUUGUGCGUAUUUACACUCCAAGAAGAUAUGUUGACAAGACUCCUCCUUAAGCUGACACAUUGCACAUAACGUAGAUUCCAUCAUUACCCCUCUCCUACUCAAACUCACCCUUGUUGGGAUUCUAUCCAACAACACUCUCCAAGCUGUCACGAUCACAUUUGGGAAUGCCUUAGUCUUCCAAAGGAGAUUAAACACAUCGGAUUGGGUUCCACGAGACUGCUUGGCAAGGCACUCAUAAGCAGAAUUCACAGAAAAAAAAGGGCUGGUUCUUCCUUCCCCCACACCUGCACAUCCACGUCAUUCCUUCUCAUUAGUGCCCCUGAUAACAGUGUAAAGAGGUCUGCUUCCAGUGAUGAUUCCCACUCAAAUCUGGCACGCCUCCAUGUCAGCCUCCAUCUCCAAUCCGAAUUAAUCCACACGCCAACUUCACCCACCGUUUGCCCCUGUUUUAAGGAUAGGGAGAACAGUCUUGGAAACAAGGAUUUGAGAUCAGAGCUCCCAACCCACACCUCCUCCCAUAACUUUACUUUGUCUCCACACCCUAGUUUUCAGCUUAGUUCUUCUUGAAACCAUCAUUUUCCUCCUCCCUCCUUGCACACUUUAAAGAGAUCUUUCCACCACCAAGAUUUUCAGCUUAGUUCUUCUUGAAACCAUCAUUAGUCCAAUUUUAAUACAUGAUAUGACAAAUGGAUUGAAUUAUGAUAUUGUCUCCUUGAAGCUUGAAUUUAUGAUCGUGUCUCUGUGCGCUGUGAUCUUAGUCACAUUGGUGGUAUAGACAAAUUGAAAAGAAGGAUCUUGGAGUCAUUCCUUUCAUUUUAGUAGUGGUAAUUACCAAGAGCUCAAGACUAUUUGACUUCAAUUUUUUCAUUACAAAACUUUAUUUUGUCUUUAUUAGUUUCUUUCAUUGAGAAAUGAAUUUUGAACUUGGGUUCUUGCAAAGCAUCAAUGUUCUUGCCUAAUUUGUGUUGCAAGAUUAUUGAUCUUUUGUAUUGGAGUUCCAAAAAUUAUAGUCUACUCAAGACUAAUUUCAUGAGUCUUGACUUUGCUAUUCUUAUUCGGAAGGUUUGUACUAUGUAUGUUUUGUCUUUUCUGAUUUAAAGUGUUUUUCCUUGUUUUUAUUUGUGUGGUUCAGACUGAAUAAAUGAGAUACCGAUUUUCUUGUUCUCCUCAUGUUACAUCAACCAUUUUAUUGCUACUUUUAUUCAUUUGCAAAGGCUCAGGAUAAUAUUAUUUCUUCAGAUUUCUAUGUACUUGAUAGUAAAUUUUUAGGUGUUGCAUAGCGCCUGGUAUGACUUUCUCUAUUGGUUUUUCAUUCUUGAAUUUAUGAAUUCAUCUUGUCUAGAUUCUAUACUUCUAUUAAGAGGACCUGGUAUGACUUUCUCUAUUCCUAACAAAAAAAACUUUUGUCCUCAAAAUUACCUAAAAAAAUAAUUAGGAUAUGAUUCACUUGUCUUCUUUUUCAUCUCCCGCAUAUAAGAUCUCACAACACUUUGACCUUUCACAACACUUUGGCCUUGUUUACACUUUCAUUUCAAAAGAUGGAUUUUCUCUUACAUGAAUUAAAUCAAAUUUUGUGUGACUAACUUUCCUUUUGUUGUAUACCAAGUUAACCAUCCAAUCUAUUUUUCCUCAAUCUUAAACACACAAUUUAGGUUAGUCUUAUGUUUUUCAAGCUUCUAGAAUAAUAUUUUUGCAUAAAGGUUAUUGUCAAAAAUGUCUAAGACGAUGUUGAUGUAAUCAAACUUCACGAUCCAUGACUUGACUUGUUAUAAGAACUAUAUAAACAUAUGCAUGAUAUAAAUCAAUAUCAAUAUAGAAAUCUUUCCAUGUUUAUUGGAAAGAUUACCUUUAAUUUUUAAUGGACAUGAUAUGAUACUAACCUUUCUAACUCAUUUUGUUUUUUUUUAACAAUAUUCUUAAAUUCAAAAAAAUGUGUAAUUAUAUUACUCACCUAACUCUAACUCAUUUUGUUUUUUUCUUAACAAUAUUCUCAAAUUAAAAAAGUGUGCAAUUAUAUUACUCACCUAACUGUUGCGUCUCAAAAAAUGUAUUGUAUGUUUCAACACUAGAAUAUUAAUUGUAAAAUUGACUUGCAAUGCGACCAAGUUUGGUAAAAUAAAAGUUAUUUUUUUCAUUGAAAUGCAUCAUUUUUUUCCAACACUAGUCUUUUUAGGACUAAAAGUAGGAUUUGCCAUUGCUUCAUUUCUCCAAAGGAUUCAUCCUCAUCUUUAUAAAAAGAUAAAUAUACUCCAAUCAAGCGUAAACUUCUUUAACAUUAGUUACAUACCUCUUUCACCACUUUUAUCAAACUAAUGUCUUCUUUUUGGUCAAUUAUCCACAUAACAUCAAGCAUACCAUUCAUUUUCAUAUAAAAAUAUUUAGUUUUAUUUGUUUUUAAUAGGUUUAAAUAUUUUUAAAAUUUGAAUCAACCAAUUGCUUCUCUUUCACUUCUUUUAGAAACUUGUUAAGCAUAUGACAAAUAAUAUGAGUUGAAGAUAUAGGAAUUUCUAAAUCCUACAUUCUAAAUUCUAAAUCUUUAAUCAUAGGUGUUGACACUUGUGUCUUCUCAUGAAUUGAAGCAUAUGUAGCAACAUUUCCUAUCUUAGGAUGGUACCUCAACAAAAAAUUGUAAUCUUUCAAAAACUCCAUCAAUUUUCUAUUAUCUACUUUCGUUAUUUGUAGGAUAGGAAACUAAUUGUAUAAUAACACUAUUUCAUUUCGACUUAGCCACGUUCAACUAUUGUAAUUUUCUCCUAAGUCUUUGAAGUUUCACUUCAUGAUAGUAAAAAAUAUAUUUAACCACGUCUCUUUUUAUGUUCAACUAUUAAAAAACUUGUGUAGUACUGAUAUAUAUUAGUUGUGUCUAAUGCAAAUAUAUUUAUUUUAUAAUUUUUAUACUAUAUCAUUUUCUCCAACUUAUUAUUUGUCGAUACACAAACUUUAUCUUGAACCUCAGAAUUUCAUUUACUUUCAUUACGAGAUCCUUAGCUGUUUUUGUACUUAACACUUAAUUAACUUAAGUUUUCGACCAUCACAAUCAACCAAGAUUAUCGAACUUGAUAGUUUAGUAAACUUGUGAAAGGCUUGUAAACUCAACUUGUAGACUCGUAAGAGUCUUGUUCAUAUAAAAUAUUGACAAAAAAAUAUUUAUGAUACCAAUUUCACAUUAUUAAAAUAAAAAAAUUCAUACAACAACAAAUUUAUUAAGACUUUGACUUCUUUUGUUACUGAAACACAAGGUUCAAAAUCAUAUAUCUUCAAAAUCAUAUAUCUUCCCAACAAAAUGAUGUUUGAAUGUGAAAAAUGUCUCCAUUAAAUAAUAAUUAUAUUUCACUUUUUUAUUGUUAUCUAAAACAUAUCUUCGGUGUUUCCAUCCAAUUUACGCAACAUUUUUAUUUCUAGAUGGAAGUGAUAAAGAUGUACCGACACACACUACCAAUUGCAACCAUUUCCCAACAUAAUAAUUAUUUUAACUUUAUUUUUUAACCACACUAAAAAAGACAAAAUCUUGAUAAAAAAUUAAACUAAUUUUUAGAAUUAAGAUAAAAAAUUAUCUUGAUUUAAUCAUGAAUGUGCAUCACUUUUUUUAGAUUUUUUCUUUUUCAAUAAUUUUAUCUUCAUUCAUUAUAAUAUAAACACAAUCUCAAAAUUUUUUUUUGAACUUUCAACUAAAAAACUUUAGUUAUCUUUAAAGUAGACAUAAACAAAUAUAUGCACAUGCAAAAAUAACCCACUACUAUGGAUGACAAAGUCAGGCAGGUCAACUCAUUAAGAAAGAACGCAGCGGAUGUCCUAUUUCAACUUGGGCUGAUUCUCCCUACACCCAAUCAAAUUGGACCUGUACCCAAUUGCAUUUGUGAAAGUACCGAAAUACCCUUAAUGAAAAUGAAAUUAGGGUUUAGUGAUUUCUGCACCCAAUCACACACCCAAGUUCGUUUAUGCCAUCCUCAUACUCAACAUCAUCUCUCGCACGAGCGUCCGCAUCCUCGCACCUUGGUUGGCAUUUCUCUGGCAGUGUAGUGUUGAGUGGAAGGACCCCUUGAACAAAGACGAAGCUAGGAGCGCGAAGGUCGUCCAUUGUUGCGCGAAGGUUUUAGGGCAUCAUAUGCAUCAGCGCACCCUACAAGCUUUUUCAAAAUAAACAUGACAAUGGUACAAUUGGAUUUUAGAAUGUUUUUCGGGUGCCAAUCACAAUUGAUUGGGUGCAGGAAGAAAUUGCUUUCAACUUGUUGACUUGCUUAGGCUCACCUCGCAUAAUCCGCAGUCCGCACGGGCCAAGUACAAGACGGGACAGGCUAACUCACAACCAACAUAUUUUAAAAAAUUAGACAUUUUUUUGCACCCCAUAAUUUUUUUUUUUAGCCUCAUAAUCUCAAAAAAUUUAAACUAUUCAUUCUAAAUUUUAUAAUCAGUAAUACAAAUUUGUAUUAUAAAGUGUACAAUCUAGAAUGUUGUACAAUCUUAAACCAAAUUUUAACUCUUAGAUUCUAUAACCCUAGAAGUCUCUAAAUUUCACAUUCCGAAAUUAAAGAUAAAACAUUCAACAAAAAAUGUCAAAGGAUAAUUAUAAUAUUUUUUGAAGUAUGGGGUGUAGUAAGUAGGGGUGGCAAUGCGGGCUGGCUCGCCCCGCAUUUGAUUCCCAAUGAGUGCGAUUUCAUUUCAAUGACCACCCCGCAUAAGAGGUAACCGACGGGCCUGAGGGCCAAUCCGCAUAAGAAAAAUAUUUAUUUUCAAAAAUUAAAAUUUCAUCAAAUAUAAAAAAAUUUAUUCUUACUAUGGAAAAAUUACAAUUUUAUACAUGUUUCAAUUCGUUCAAUUAAGAUAAAGUUAUAAAUUCAAGUGUGAGGAUUGUUAGAAGGUUUGAUUAAAAUUAACUAAAGUUUUAUUUUUUGCAUAUAUUUUUCCUAUAUAUGUAUGUGAAUGUAUAAGAAUACCUUAUCAAAGUUUUGUUAUAAAAUAUUUUAAUGAAGAUGACUAAUUUUUUUAACUAUCCUAUUUAAAUCUCUUUUUUUAUAUUUUUUUUAUUAACAAAUUUAAAAUAUAAGAUUUACUUAAAAUCAAAUCCAAUGUCACUCUUCAUACUAACUCCAUGGCUCAACUAAAGACCUGGUCCUGGGUAACCUAUAAAAUUCAUUUUGCUUAUUUUUCCUUUUGUGACUGGUGUUUGGAUCCCUGUUUAAUUAAACAUAAGUGUUUUAUUUAGGUUGGUUAGACUCUAUUUGUUCUAGUAGGAAGUUAGUGAUAAACUUCCCAAAUGAGGGUUGUUAGUUUUUGUGUGAUUUUGUACAUGAGUUUGGAUCACUCAUAAAGUGGUUCUUAUUUAUUUAUUUUUAUUGUUGAUAAAAAAAAACUAACUCCUUUAAAUGAUUAAAAUAAAAUAUUUUUUUUAGUAGAUUAAAUUCAAUUUUUUAAAAUAAAAUAAAUAAAUGUUGCACUACAAGGGUGAAUGAGGUAUGAUUUUUUUUUACAAAAAAUAAAAUAAUAUUUUUUCAUUUAUACGGGUCAACCUGCCCCGCUCCGUUAUUGGUCCGCUCUGGGAGUUAUGCGGGGCAGGUCUAAGCAGGUCAGCAGGGUAGAUUAGUGAGCUCGCCCUGCGCCUUUUAGUAGCGGGUUGCGGGCUGACCCGCCCUACAUUGUCAUCCCUGGCAAUAAGAAAGACAUGGAGGUGCAGGAAGAAACUAUCCUCAAUCCCUAGUUCAUAACACCUUCAUGAAAUUUGAUAAUAGUCUUUUUUUCCUUUUUAAAAUGCAUAAAUUUUAUAGGUUUCAAUAUUCAUCAAAUGUUAAAUGCAUUAGUCAGAUUUUGGCCUUUUUAUAAUAAAAUUUAAAUAUAUAAUAAUAUUAUUAUAUAUAUAUAUAUAUAUUAUUUUUUAAAUUAAAAUAAUAAUCAUGUAUCUACAUGUAUUGUCUUUAAAAAUAUAUAUAUUUAAAGAAAUAUUUAUUAGUCAAUUUAUUAUAAUUUUUUUAUCCAUAUUUUAUUACAUAUGUCGUGAGAAUAAUAUUAUGAAACUAUUUACCUAAAUCAUCUAAAUAAGAAAAAAAUUAUUUUAAUAAACAAAACAAAAUUUUAUUCAAAAUUUAUAUUUAAUUUUUUUCAUUAAUUAAAAAAAAUCUUAUGUGGAUCGGCUUGUGGGUUAGCUAGCAUGCGAGGCGGGCCAAUAAAAGCAACCCGUAUAUUUUACGCGGUACGAACCAACGUAGCCUGCAUUUUGUGGGCCAAAUGCGAGGCAAACGGACCUGCAUUGCCAUCCAUACGCACUACCCUCAUGUUAUCCUAAGGUCGAACAACUCUGAUACCAUAAAUGUAACACCCCCAAUAUUUACUAUACACUUAUUACAAAGUUUAUUGUAAUAUAAUUUUAUUACAAUAAACGUAUUCAAGAACUACAUAAACCAUACAUGGAUUUAUAUAUCAAGGAUAUUUAAUCCAUUUCUGCUCAGGCUAAAAUAUUCCCGCUCAAGUUGACAAAAACUUCUUUCUUUUAUUUUAUUUUUCUUCUUGUCUCAUCAAUGAAUUGGAUUCUUUAGCAAAAAACUUUGCUUGAACAAAAAUAGUGCUAAAAACAAGUUUGAGUGCUUGGUUAUUUUCGCUUGAGCAAAAAUUGGCUUGCUUGAGAAAAAUAUCAAAAAAAUCAACUAUUACAAUAAUACAUAGUCAUUUUUAAAGUUGUACCUUAAAAGCAAUUCAAACUCAAACAUUAAAAAUAUGUUCAACAACACACAACAUCAAAUAGAACAUCAAGUGAUCACAUCACUCUUUAAUUUAGGUUAUUCUGCUAAGGCUCUACCAAAAAUAUAAUUAUUUUUUCUUAUGUGAAAUUCCUUAUUUCAAGAAAAAAAAUCUACCUCAAACAAAAGAACCACUCAAAAUUUAAAGCUCUAAAGCAAAAUAUCCAAACUUAAUUAAAUUUUAAUAUAAGGUUAAUCAAGUUGAUGAUCGCUUUUGACAACUAAUUUUACCAAGAUGGAUGACAAAAUUAGAAGAAAAUAAAAAAAAUAGAGAAUAUUUAGGAUAAAUAAGAACUUAUCCUGUUUUGAAAAUCUAAUUGGAUAAAAAUGAUUUCUAACUCUUUAGCUAUUGUAGGGUGUGAUGAAAAUUUGAAAUAAAUGAAGUGUAAAAAAAGAAAAGUAUAAAGAAAAGGAAAGAAGAAAGAAAAGAAAAAAAAAGAAUAUUAGGAUAUAAUUUCUUAUCUUCUCUUCCAUAUUUGAAGUGGAAUUAUCGUAUAUGAAAUGUUAAAAAAAUGACUACAUUUAUAUUUCUAUUAUGAAAUUGUUUUAUUUGAAAAUAUAUUUUCUUUUACUUACACUGAAUUAUAUUCUAAAUUAUAAUUGAAUUGUGUAUAUAUUUGUUAGUUGCAAUAAAUAAAAAAUAUUAUAAUAAAAGAGAUCAAACAUCUUAUUAAUUUUUAUGUAAUAGAAACUAUUCUCUUUGAAAAUAUGGAAAUAAGAAAGAAAGUGGAGGCAUGAAAGGGAUUUACUUACAAUUAUUCUCAACAACAAAAUAUUUUAUCAUUCAAAAAUUACAUUAUUUAGAAAAAAGAUUAGGAUAUAAUUUUUUUUAUAUUCUCUUUCAUUUAUGAGAUGAAGUGGAAUUAUCGUAUAUAAAAUCUUAAAAAGCUGACUAUAUUUAUAUUUUUAUCAAAUAAGAAUUAAAAAACAGACUUUCCUUAAAAAAUAUAUUUUUCUUUUACUGAAUUAUAUUCUAAAUUAUAAUUAAAUUGUGUAUAUAUUUUUGUAGUUGCAAUAAAUAAAAAAUAUUAUGAGUGUUGACUAAUAGAGAGAUAAAACAAAUUCUUAUUAAUUUUUAUAUUAAAUUGUCUUUUCUACACUCUAAGAAAAACAUACUUACUAAAGUAUGAAGUUAAAGUUGUUCUUAUUUCAUCUGUAUAAAUUUUUUGCCGACUAAAACUGUUUUGAACUUUCACUACAAUUUUGAAAUUUGGAUUUACAAUUAAUAAUAACAGAUGAAAAUUUAUUAAAAGAUCACCAUUAUUUAAAAAUAAAAAUUAUUUGUUUUAAAAUAUAAAAAAAUCGAUUGAACUUAUAAUAUAUAACUAUUUAUAUUAAAAGUUUUUUUUUUCUGUAAAUUAUUUUUAGAAAUUAUGCUAUUAAUUAUUGGUGAGAUCAUAGACUUUUUCCCUUAAAAAAAUCAAAAUAAAACAUUAAGUGUGGAUGACAAUAACUUUUGUACAGCUACAUUAUAUAAUAUUAAUAGCUUUCCUUGACAAUUUGAUUAUUACCCAUCGCAUAUAACUUUAGUUUUAUUAAUCAAACUAUUUAUUUAUGACUUAAUUUAAAUAAACAUUCUCAUGAAAAAAAAUUAAUAUUAAAGUUAUAGUAUCUAAAAUAAUGUUUAGAGAAUCACGGUCUAAAGAAAACUAUAUUUUCAAUUUUCUUUUACCAUGUCAAUCGAAUAAAUUAAUUAAUUAAGUCUUCUAUUAAACUAAUAAAAUUCUAUAUAGAAAAAUUAUAAAUUAUUUAUUUAAAAUUUACAUAUCUUCUCACAUUAAAAUAUGUGAACAAUUUAUUUUAUUAUAAUUGAUUCACAUAAGCUAAAUAAUAAUAAUAAAAGUUAAGAAAAAAUGUAACUAUAUUUAAAUUUCCAUACAUAAUAUACUAAUAAACUAUUUAUUAUAUUAUAUAUUUUCCCGUUAAGUGAGUUGGCGCCCAAAAUCCUCUCUCAAUAUAAAGACAGUAACAGUGAACUAAAGAAACACAACAGAACUAAAUUUCUAAUUUUCUCUCCCUUCGAUUACGAGUUCAAGCGACUCGAGAACAUUCGCCGCAACGUUGAGGUGAUGGCAGCGCUCAAACUCCAUUCUAAAGCCACCCACAACUCUCCAAAGGUACUCUUCUCUCUUCUGUAACUUACCAUUUUUUUGGAAAUCUCCAGAGUUUCUCCAGAGGUGAAACUGAAACCCCGAUUGAAAUAUUAUGUUUUGGUCAAUAUCCAAGAUCAGUUUUGUUGGUAUUGCUUUGGUGAUUUUGUUUUGUUGGUGUUGCUUUGGUUAUUGUCGUGAUUCUCUAUAAGGAUUUGUGGAAUUACAUGAUGUUUUCGUCAUGGGAUAGAAGAGUUAUUAAGAAUUAUUAGCAAGUGAUCAAUGUGCUUUUAUCGGAUUGUGAUUCAUUUACGCCGAAUGUGAUUCUUUGUGAUGAUGGCGAGUUUUAAAUCUUUUGAUCAAAUCUUUUUUGUCUAUGGAUGAAAUGAAAAACAUAAUAGUUCAGAAAGGCCAAUUGAUCCAAGUCUUCUUUUAAUCUCCUUUCUAUUAUUUAAUUUAUAUGGUAUUGAUCACCGAAAAUAAGGAUUGGAUUAUGAUUUGUUUAUUAGUGUUUAUCUGCAUCUGCAUCUUUAUCAUUUUUCUACACUUCUUUUUAGUAAGAGCUUAUUUCGUUUUCUUGAAUUUUUGGCUGUACAGCUAAUUCGUUUCUUGAAUUUUUGGGCUGUAUAGGGAAGGCACGCAAUGGAUGUGUGGUGUAGUGUAAGACAUGAUGUGAAGUAUUAUGUUUUGUUACCCUAAUUUCAGUCUGCUUGAUCUCCAAGGAUUGAAUGGUGUUCCAUGUUGAAUUUUUUCUACUUGAUUUCCAAGGAUUGAAUUGUGUUUGAUGUUUGAAUUAUUUUCACUUAAUGUCCUGCAGUAUCUCAUGGAGUAUGUUAUAUAAGGCCUAAGGGUUGAAUCAUCUUUUAAUUUCUUCUAUGUGUUGAACUGGAGUUGAUCACCGAACAUUAAGAUUUUAAUUGUGAUUUGUUUCUCUGCAGCAGGGUUUUGUUUAGUUUUGUGUGAUGACCUGUAUCUCAUCGUGCCUGUUAUGAGCAACUAAGGCUCCACCGGUUUUGAAUUCAUUAAUUUAUCUUAUCCUUUCUUAAAUUCUUCCCAUGAUGUGUCGAGCCUAUAAGUGGCUCCCUUGGUUUUGAAUUUGUGGCCUCCCUUGGUUUUGAAAUUUUGAAUUUACCUUAACCUUUCUAUACUAUGUCAUGUCAUCUCUUUAAAAGAGAAUAGUUUUCUCGAAUCUCCAUGAUUCUUGUUCAGCUUUUAUUGGAAGGCAAUAUAUAUGUGGGCAGGUUUCAGAAACAGUAAAUGGAGGUCGUGUGAAACUUUAGGUUUUUAUUAUCUUUGCGGUUAUUCUUUUGGCUAAACUUGUGGAGUGGGGUUCUUGUAGACAGGCACUAUAUGACUAUGAGAGGCUUUGACAUUUGUGUUUGUGUCUUCGACUUUGAUUAUCUUCUUCUACGUGUUGCAGUGUCUUUCUACAUGUUGCACUGACUUGCUAUGGAUGUCUGUUGGAUUGUGGAGACAAUUGCGGUAGAUUAUUGGACUUACUGUGAAGCUUUAGGUUUUAUUAUGUUUUCAUUCACUAUCUUAUGUGCUUGAUUUGAAAUGGCUGUAUUCUCUCUUAUUGGUUGAAUAGUAGGAAGCUACACGUGUCAGUCACUGUGUGUCUAAGCUAGGGCGAUUCUUAAUUAUGCUUAUCCUUUAUCUCAUGAUCCCAACUAUCUUCCAAAAUGAGAAUGUUCUCCAUAAUGACAGUAAUAUUUAGUUAUAUUUCCAAUAUGAGAAUGAAAAACUAUCUCUCAAAGCUAUGAGAGACCAAUUCCAAAAGGAAAGCUCCAACAUGAGAGCUCUAUUUACUUCUUUCGGGUUGGGGUCUCAGUAUUUGUGAUAGGAUAUGGAAGCAGACUGUAUCUUAUUUCUAACUAUAUUUCUCAAUCUUAGUCCCUUGCUGAUUUUGGUCUUUAUUAUUUAAUGUUUUUGGACUUGAUCACUUAACAUAUGGGCUGAAUUGUUGUUUAUCUACAAUAGUAUUUCAAAGUAUUUUUGUAAUCUUCUUCGUGCUCUUGGUUUUGAAUGGUGGCUUCCCUUGAUAUUUUAGAUUAGUGAAUUUAUCUUAUUGUUUCUUUACUUUGUCAUGUCAUCUUUUUAAGAAGAUUAGUUUUCUCAAAUCGCCAUGAGUCUUACUUGAGCUUUGUCACGAGUCUUAUUGAACUUUGCCACGAGAAUUCUUGAGCUUUGCAACGAGUAUUCUUGACCUUUUACAUGAAGGAUGCAACGGUCAGGUUUUGGAAAUAGUGGAUGGAGAUACAUUUAAACUUAGGUUUUAUUAUCUUUGCAUUUAUUAUGCUGAUAAAAAAACAUCUUUGCAUUCAUUAUUUUCUUUGUUGUUAUUCUUUUUGCUACUCUUGUGGAGUCGGAGUUCUUGUAAUUGGCCAUUUUACUUGUGUUGUAGUGAACUUUGAGCUUCGCCAUGAGUCUUCUUGACCUUUGCCAUGAGUCUUAUUGAGCUUUGCCACGUGUUUUCUUGAGCUUUGCCAUAAGACUUCUUGAGCUUUGCCAUGAGUCUUAUUGAGCUUUGCCACGUGUUUUCUUGUGCUUUGCCAUAAGACUUCUUGAGCUUUUCCAUGAGUCUUCUUGAGCUUUGCCAUGAGACUUCUUCAGCUUUGCCAUCAGUCUUCUUGUGCUUUGCCACGAGUUGUUCUUGUGCUUUGCCAUCAGGAGUCUUCUUGAGCUUUGCCAUGAGACUUAUUGAGCUUUGCCAUGAGUCUUCGUGAGCUGCCAUGAGUCUUCUUGAGCUUUGCCACGAGUCUUGUUGUGCUUUGCCAUGAGACUUCUUGAGCUUUGCCAUGAGUCUUGUUGUGCUUUGCCAUGAGACUUCUUGAUCUUUGCCAUGAGUCUUGUUCAGCUUUGCCACGAGUCUUCGUGAGCUUUGCCAUGAGUCUUCUUGAGCUUUGCCAUGAGUCUUCUUGUGCUUUGCCAUAAGUCUUCUUGAGCUUUGCCACGAAUCUUCUUGAGCUUUGAGCUUUGCCACGAAUCUUCUUGAGCUUUUACAUGAAGGAUGUAGGGUUCAGGUUUUGGAAACAGCGGAUGGAGUUACAGUUAAAGUUUAGGUUUUAUUAUCUUUGCAUUCAUUAUGCUGAUAAAAAAAAUCUUUGCAUUCAUUAUUUUCUUUGUUGUUAUUCUUUUUGCUACUCUUGUGGAGUGGGAGUUCUUGUAAUUGGGCCUUUGACUUUGAUGAUUUGAUUAUCUUCUAGUUGUGUUGUAGUGAACUUUGAGCUUUGCCAUGAGUCUUCUUGAGCUUUGCCAUGAGUCUUCUUGAGCUUUUCCAUGAGACUUGUUGAGCUUUGCCUUGAGACUUGAUGAGCUUUGCCAUGAGUCUUCUUGAGCUUUUACAUGAAGGAUGUAGGGGUCAGGUUUUGGAAACAGCGGAUGGAGAUACAGUUAAAGUUUAGGUUUUAUUAUAUCUGCAUUUAUUAUGCUGAUAAAAAAAUUCUUUGCAUUCAUUAUUUUCUUUGCUGUUAUUCUUUUUCUACUCUUGUGGAGUGGGAGUUCUUGUAAUUGUGCCUUUGACUUUGAUGAUCUGAUUAUCUUUUUCUACUUGUGUUGCAAUGAACACUUACCAUGGAUGUUUGUUGGACAUAUUGUGAAGCUUCGGGUUUUAUUACUUUUCUACUCACUAUUUUUCUUAUGUGCUCGAUAUGGAAUGUCUAAAGUUUUUCUUAUUGGCUGGAUAGUUGGAAGGUAUUGUAUGUAUCAAAGCAAGAGCGAUACGUCUAGGUCCUCCAUCAUGUACCCUUAUUGAUUAUAGUUUUCUUGAAUUCAUUGGCCUUACACGAAAGCUAAGCAAUGAAGUGUGGUGUAGGAUGUAAAAAUGGUGGGUGGAAAUUCUUUGAUCGGUGAAGCUAAAUCUUUUUUUCACCAGGACAUUGUUGUGUUCAUCUGAAUUAAUUUUUAACUGGCUCAACUUGUGGGUUUGAUUAUAAUCUUGGUUGUAACUUGUUGGUUUGAUUAUAAUCUUGGUUGUAUUUUGAUAAUGUAUGGUUCUAAGAGGAAUUGUGGGAUGAGCAUGAAACAAGUGCGGUUGGGCUUUACUCUUUGAUUUGAUGGUUUGCUUCUUGGUUUGAGAAGUUCUUUCUACUAUUUAAUUUUGAUGACUUCUCUGCAUAAUUCUAUAAUAUAGGUCUUUUGUUCUAUAUAGGUCUUUUGUUCUUUUAAUAGUUUUCCAAAACCUUUCGAUUCAUUAUUCUUGAUCCCAAACUUAUGGGUUGAGUGAACUUCUUUGGAAUUUUUGCACGCUGAAAUUUUUGAAAUUAGUAUAAGAAUGAUCCUGAAAUUGAAAUUAUUUAAAUGCUUCAGUUUUGUUUCAGCAAUCUUCAUAUGUGUUUCUCGUUCCUCGAUUUUUGAAAUUUGCAUUUAUUUGUUUGCAACACAUUGAGUCUUUAUCUGAGGUUUUUCUUUCAGUUUAUUAACUCAACCAGUGAUGGAAUAUAGUGGGACGACUAACAUGUCUAAUCAACCAGUUAUAGAUUUUUUUUCUUUUUUUUCUUUAUUGUUUAUUGAGUUCAGUGUUUUCAAAAUAUUUCUGUAAGCACUUGGGAUUGAAAGUCCAACGUUAUGCCUGACAUUAGAUAAUUGGACUUCUUUUAUUAGUUAUCCAAAUGAAUUUGUUUCAUAUUUGUUCUAUUUGGACAGGAAUUGUAUGAAGAAAGAUAAUGGAGUUUUGGAGGUAAAUUUGUUUCAUAUUUGUUCUAUUUGGACAGGAAUUGUAUGCGAGAAAGAUUAUGAAGUUUUGGAGGUGAAUUUGUUAAUUCCAGUCAAAACGACGAAGAAAUCUUGAUAAAGUAGUUGUCCUUGUUAUUCUAUUUCUCUACCCAAUCCAGGUGUUGCAUUAAUCCCUUUUCAGCAUACAGAACUGUGAUCGAUCUUAAGUUUGUAUGCAACGACGUUUUUGAAAAUUUUGUGUCACAGACUUAUUAUUAGGACUUAUUACCUUGAUUUUAUCUGAUCAUUUUGGACUUGGUAUCCUCUUUUGUGGGUUUUGGUUUGGUUUCAAUUUUCAGUAAUGUCUGAUAAGUUGGCAGUAUUGGAUUUCCUUGUUUGCAUAUCAGAAACUGAACCAAUCUCAAGGCAUUAAGUUUUUAUAGUUGGAGUAGUAUGAGACAACUUUGUUUCUCUGAAAUUUAGAUAGUCUGUUUAAUAUUGCAUGGUAGGUUUUUUAUACUAUGUACAAGUAUAUCCAGUUUUAUUUGGAUAUUUUUUAGGAACAAUGCUUUUGGAAUAGGAUUGUUUGAGUGCUACCAUGGGAAAGUUCAACUUGAAACGACAACAACUCAUAAUAGCCUAAUUUCUUCUCUAUGAGGUUUCACCAUUUAUUUUACUUCUAAGGACUUGAGCACCAACAUUAGGAUUGAAUUGUGAUUUGUUUUUCUACAGUGGUUUAUGAUUGGAUUCAAUCAAUGUCUGGAUCUCAUCGAGCCUUUAAUGAGAUUGUUUCUGAGUUUAAGAAAACGUCUAAUAUUUUCUAAAAUUCCUCCCUUGGAACAAGUGUUUUUAGUUUUCUUGAAUUUUUGCUCUUUAUAGGUAAGACAAGCAAAGGAUGUGAGGACAUGUAGAAACAUGGGGAUCAAUUGAAGCCUUAGUUUGUGUUAAUUCGUGACUAGUUAUUUGAGUGCAGUUUUUUUAUUUGGUGACAAAGAUCUAUCAAAAUAAAAAAAUUAGUUUAAGAUUUCCUCUCUAUUUGAUAUUUUCAGAUUUGAUCACCAAAUGUAAGGAUUUUCUGUCGUCAUUUGUUUUUCUACAGUGAUGUUUGCAUUAUGUUUCAUGCUACGUCUAAUGGAUCAUGUUAUCUGGAAGUUUUUAUGGCUCUUGGUAACAGGCUUUACAAGGGUUUUCAGAGGAUCAGUAAUUUUAGAGGUGAUACCUAUUAUCAUAAUUGUGUGUUGCAGUGUGAAUUGUUCAAGUUUAUUCAUCUGCAAAAGGAAUCAGUUCUUCAUUCAUCUUUGCAGAAGAUUAGAUGGCUUGUUCAAGUUUAUUCAUUUGCAAAAGGGAUCAGUUCUUCAUUCAUCUUUGAAGAAGAUUAGAUGGCUAACUUUAUUGUCCGUUCAUUUGAUCCAGUAAGAGCCCAUUCUAGAAAUGUGGACUUCUCUUUUUUGUUCAUUUUUAGAUUUGGAAUUGUUUAAGUACCAACAACAUGAUUUCAUGGUCUCUUAUGAUUUCUCCUGAAUUCUUAGUUGUUGUCCUACUACCAACCAUGUGUGUAAAAGUUUGAAAUAUACGUUGUGGAUAUUUUCUAGGGAUAUAUAUAUAUAUAUAUAUAUAUAUAUAUAUAUAUUUAGUUGCUAGUUUUAUUUUUGAUUGAAUUACAUAAAUGAUUUAUUAAUAUGAUUAUUUGAUUAUAUCAGAGUUGUAGUGCUUUUUAUAAAAUUGUUCUUGGUAGUUAUGUAAUUGUUCAUGGUUGUUUUAUUACCUUUAAUAGUUAUUGUUUUUGGAAAAAUAAUCUAGAAGUCCUUUGUUGGCUUUUGAUUCUCUAACAUUUUUUUUUUAAUUUUAUAGUAGUUGUAUAUUGCUUUGACAAUUUAGUUUAGUUUUUUUAAUUGACUCUGAUUGUUAAUUAAAUAUUUAUUUACAUUAGAAUGUUGAUGAUGUAAAUGAUUUCUUUUAAUGUUGAUUAUGAUUCUAUUUUAUAAAAUAUUGUGUUAUGGUAAUCAUUAAUUAAUUGCUUUGUAUGCACUCAUUUAUCAUAUUGUUGUAUGACAAAUCUUAAAGCUCCCUAAGAGAAAGGUUCAUGGGUUGCUGUGUGGAAAGUUCUAAAACACGCUCAAUAUAGUAAAUUAUGGAUCAUGUGCUUUUACGGAAGAAUUAUUAAUAAAUUGAAGUACAUGAAUUCUUAGUAUAAUUCUCUAGUUGAUGAUGACGAGUUUUUAACCUUUCGCUUAAAUUUCUUUGCACCUUUUAAGCUUAUGGCUGGUUCACUGAUAUUUCUUUUGCCUUUGGAUGAUAUGAAAACCCCAACAGCCAAGGGCUAAGCAUAACGGAAGUCUUUUGAGUUUCCCUUUUAUUAUUUUUUUUUCUGGUAUUGAUGACCGAACAUAAGGAUUGAACUAUGAUGUGUUUAUCUGCAGUGGUGUUCGGAUUAGUUGGGUAUAUUCGCAUUAUCAAGUUUCUAUACUUCCUCUUAGCAAGAGCGGUUAUUGUUUCCUUCAAUUUUUUGACUGUAAAGGGUUUAUCGUUUCCUUCAAUAAAAUUUGAUAUUCGUGUUCAUUCCUUUUCAGCAAGUCAAGAGUCUCUGAGAUUUCUUUUGGCGGUUGAGGAACAAGAUGGUUUUACAGGAUAUUCUAAUUUCUCUAUACUUGAUCACCAACAUUGAAUAGUGAUUUGUUCUUAUGCAGUAAACAUAAAGAUUUAUUUUUGAUUUGUUUCUCUACAGCAAUGUUUUGAUUUUUUCGUAUCUAAUAGUUCUUUAUUACUAGUUAUAGUUCUGUUAAUUUCUCUAGCAAGAGCUCAGGACUAUUUGGAUUCAAUUUUUUUAUAACAAAACUUUAUUUUGUCUUUAAUAGUUUCCUUCAUUGACAAAUAAAUUUUGAACUCGGUUCUAGCAAAGCAUCAAUGUCUUUGCCUAAUUUGUGUUUCAAGAUUAUUGAUCUUUCGUAUUGAAGUUCUGAAAAUUAUAUUUUUUUCUUAGGUGGAGAAGUAUUGAAAAGAUGGAUCUUGAAGUUAUUCCUUUCAUUUUAGUAGUGUAACUAGCAAGAGCUCAAGAUUAUUUGCCGCCAUUCUUUGAUUACAGAAGUUUUUAUUUUGUUUGUUUCUUGCAUUGACAAAUGAAUUUUGAACUUGUUCUUGGAUAAUUUAUCUUUGGGAGAAAAUGAAUUGGUGGUGUAGGUUUGGGAAACAGUGGAUCAGGACACCCUGUGGAAAUUUAGGUUUUAUUAUGUGUUUAUUAUUUUCUUUGCUGCUAUUAUUCAUGGAUAAACUUGUGGAUUGGGAAUGCUUACCUCUUUAUGACAGGCACCGUAAAUGUCUGUGUCAGCCAUUUAAUUUUCUCUUUCUAGUCCACAGACAUUUCUUUCAGCAACUGAGUCAUUUAAUCGCAAAGAGAGUUUUGUUGCCUUUCAUGUUCUUUGUUGUCAAAACAACCUUGUUUCUUUUUUAUCAGCUAUAGUAUUUAGUUUCACUGCGAUCUCGGGAUGUGUUAUUUGGAAGUGAUGUGGUUACUCAUUUAAGGAUUGACGUGUUAUUUGGAAGUGAGGUGGUUAUUCAUUCGAGGAUUGAAUUCCAUUCCCUUUGACUUGCAUUGUUUGUGUUCAUUGCUAUCAAACAACUUUCUUCAUUUUAAAUGUAUGGAGUCUAUUUUUUUAAGAUGAAAUCCCCACUAAAUGUUUAUGUUUUAUUUUUUCUUUCUUUUUCAUCAUCUCCUAGUUAUUUGUGUUUCUCAUAGGCUUGGUCUCAUCCCUUCGACUUGCAUAUGUUUGUGUUCAUUGCUAUUGAACAACUUUCUUUUUUGCCAUUAGUCUUCUGGAGCUUUGCCAUGAGACUUCUUGAGUUUUGCCGUGAGACUUCUUGAGUUUUGCCGUGAGACUUCUUGAGCUUUGUCACAAGUCUUCUUGAGCUUUGCCACGAGUCUUCUUGAGCUCUGCCAUGAGUCUUCUUGAGCUCGGCAAUGAGUUUUCUUGAGCUUUGUCGUGAAGAAUGUAGGGGUCAGGUUUUGGAAACCGUGGAUGGAGAUGCAGUUAAAGUUUCGGUUUUAUUAUCUUUGCAUUUAUUAUGCUGAUAAAAAAAAUCUUUGCAUUCAUUAUUUUCUUUUUUGAUAUUCUUUUUGCUACUCUGGUGGAGUGGGAGUUCUUGUAAUUGGACCUUUGACUUUGAUGAUUUGAUUAUCUUCUACUUGUGUUGUAGAGAAUUUUGAGCUUUGCCAUUAGUCUUCUUGAGCUUUGCCAUGAGUCUUCUUGAUCUCUGCCUUGAGCCUUCUUGAACUCUGCCAUGAGUCUUCUUGAGCUUUGCCAUGAAUCUUCUUGAGCUUUGUCAUGAAUCUUCUUGAGCUUUUACAUGAAGGAUGUAGGGGUCAGGUUUUGGAAAUAGUGGAUGGAGAUACAGUUAAAGUUUAGGUUUUAUUAUCUUUGCAUUUAUUAUGCUGAUAAAAAAAAUCUUUGCAUUCAUUAUUUUCUUUGCUCCUAUUCUUUUUGCUACUCUUGUGGAGUGGGAGUUUUUGUAAUUGGGCCUUUGACUUUGAUGAUCUGAUUAUCUUCUUCUACUUGUGUUGCAAUGAACACUUACCAUGGAUGUUUGUUGGACAUAUUGUGAAGCUUCAGGUUUUAUUACUUUUCCACUCACUAUUUUUCUUAUGUGCUCGAUUUGGAAUGUGUACAGUUUCUCUUAUUUGUUGGAUAGUUGGAAGGUAUUUCAUUGUAUUGUAUGUAUCUAAGCAAGAGCAAUACUUCUAGGUCCUCCAUCAUCUAACCAUAUUGAUUAUAGUUUUCUUGAAUUCAUUGGCCUAAAAGGAAAGCUAAGCAAUGAAGUUUGGUGUAGGAUGUAAAAAUGGUUGGUGGAAAUUCUGUGAUCAGUGAAGCUAAAUGUUUCUCUCAUUAGGACAUUGUUGUGUUUAACUGAAUUAAUUUUUAACUGGCUAAACUUGUUGGUUUGAUUAUAAUCUUGGUUGUAUUUUGAUGGUGUAUGGUUCUAAGAGGCAUUGUGGGAUUAGCAUGAGACAAGUGUGGUUGGGCUUUACUCUUUUAUUUGAUGGUUUGCUUCUUGGUUUGGAAAGUUCUACUAUUUAAUUUUGAUGACUUCUCUGCAUAAUUCUAUAAUAUAGGUCUGUUGUUCUUUUAAUAGUUUUCCAAAACCUUUUGAUUCAUUAUUCUUGAUCCCAAACAUAGAAUUUUUGCAUGUAAUCUCGUGUGAUCCUAGACAACAAUGUCUCUUACUAUGAUGACGGACAUCAAUGUCUCUUACGCUGAAAUUUUUGAAAUUAGUAUAAGAAUGAUCCUGAAAUUGAAAUUGUUUAAAUGCUUCACUUUUGUUUCAACAAUCUCAUGUGUUUCUCGUUCCUUGAGUUUUGAAAUUUGCAUUUAUUUGUUUGCAACACAUUGAGUCUUUAUUUGAGGUUUCUCUUUCAGUUCAUUAACUCAGCAAGUGAUGGAAUAUAGUGGGACGACUAACAUGUUUAAUCAACCAGUUAUAGAUUUUUUUCUUUUUUUCCUUUAUUGUUUAUUGAGUUGAGUGCUUUGAAAAUAUUUCUGUAACCAAUUGGGAUUGAAAGUCCAGCGUUAUGCCUGGCAUUAGAUAAUUGGACUUCUUUUAUUAGUUAUCCAAACCGUUCAUUUUUUUCAUAUUUGUUCUAUUUGGACAGGAAUUGUAUGCGAGAGAGAUAAUGAAGUUUUGGAGGUGAAUUUGUUAAUUUCAGUUACGACUAUGGAGGAAUUGUAUUUUGGAGGUGAAUUUGUGAAUUUGUAUGAGACAACUUUGUUUCUCUGAAAUUUAGAGAGCCUCUUUAAUAUUGCAUGGUAGUUUUUUUAUACGAUAUACAAGUAUAUCCAGUUUUAUUUGGAUAUUUUUUAGCAACAAUGCUUUUGGAAUAGGAUUUGUUUGAGCGCUACCAUGAGAAAGUUCAACUUGAAACGACAACAACUCAUAAUAGCCUAAUUCCUUCUAUAUGAGGUUUCACCUUUUAUUUAACUUCUAAGGACUUGAUUACCAACAUUAGGAUUGAAUUGUGAUUUGUUUUUCUACAGUGGUUUAUGAUUGUCUUCAAACAAUGUUUGGAUCUCAUCGAGCCAGUUGGUUUCUGAGUUAAGAAUUUUUCUAAUAUUUUCUAAAAUUCCUCCCCUGAAACAAGUGUUUUUAGUUUUCUUGAAUUUUUGCUCUUUACAGAUAAGACAAGCAAUGGAUGUGUGACGACAUGUAGAAACAUGGGGAUCAAUUAAAGCCUUAGUUUGUCUUAAUUGGUGACUAGUUAUUUGAAUGCAGUUUUAUAUGUGGUGACAAUGAUCUAUCAAAAUAAAAAAAUUGGUUUAGGAUUUCCUCUCUAUUUGAUAUUUUCAGAUUUGAUCACCAAAUAUAAGGAUUUUCUGUUGCCAUUUGUUUCUCUGCAGUGAUGUUUGCAUUAUGGCUUUACAAGUCUUUCAGAGGAUCAGUAGUUUCAGAGGUGAAUUGUGUGUUGCAGUGUAAAUUGUUCAAGUUUAUUUAUUUGCAAAAGGGAUCAAUUCUCCAUUCAUUUUUGCAGAAGAUUAGAUGGCUAACAUUAUUGUUCGUUCAUUUGAUCCAGUAAGAGCUCAUUCUAGAAAUGUGGACUUCUCUUUAAAAGCCUUUGGUAUUUUAACUAUCUUCAAAAGAUAUUUUUUCUGGAUCUAUUGUUUUGACAGAGCAGGUCUUCGAGGAAGACACGAGUGUUGUUGAUUUUUAGAUUUGGAAUUGUUCAAGUACCAACAACAUGAUUUCAUGAUCUCUUAUGAUUUCCCCUGAAUUCUUGGUUGUUGUUUUGCCAGGGUAGGGUCUGGGUAGAUUUGGGUUUUUGGAUUCGGAAUUGUCCAACUACCAACAAUGUGUGUACAGGUUUGAAAUAGAUGAUGUGUUUGUCAGAUAUUUUCUAGGGAUAUAUAUAUAUAUAUAUAUAUAUAUAUAUAUAUAUUUAGUUGCUAGUUUUAUUUUUCAUUCAAUUACUUAAUUGCUUUAUUACUAUGAUCAUUUGAUUAUAAAAUUAUUCUUGGUAGUUAUAUAAUUAUUCAUGGUUGUUAGAUUACCUUUAAUAGUUACUGUUGUUGGAAAUAUAAUCUAGAAGUCCUUUGUUGGCUAAUGAUUCUCUAACAUUUUUUUUAAUUUUAUGGUAGUUGUAUUUUGCUUUGACAAUUUAGUUUAGUUUUUUUUAUUAACUCUGAUUGUUUCCAGCAUCGACACAUGAAUUUUGAACUUGUUCUUGCAUAAUUUAUCAUGGGAGAAAAUGAAUUGGUGGUGUAGGUUUGGGAAACAGUGGAUCAAGACCCUAUGGAAAUUUGGGUUUUAUUCUGUGUUUAUUAUUUUCUUUGCUGCUAUUAUUCACGGAUAAACUUGUGGACUGGGAAUGCUUACCUCUUUAUGACAGGCACUGUAAAUGUCUGUGUCAGCCAUUUAAUUUUCUCUUUCUAGUCCGCACUCAGACAUUUCUUUCAGCAACCAGUCAUUUAAUCGGAAAGAGAGUUUUGUUUCCUUUCAUGUUCUUUGUUGUCAAAACAACCUUUGUUUCUUUCUUAUCAGCUAUAGUAUUUAAUUCACUGCGAUCUCAGGAUGUGUUAUUUGGAAGUGAUGUGGUUAUUCAUUCGAGGAUUGAUGUGUUAUUUGGAAGUGAGGUGGUUAUUCAUUCGAGGAUUGAGUUUCAUUCCCUUUGACUUGCAUUUUUUUGUGUUCAUAGCUAUCAAACAACUUUCUUCCUUUGAAAUGUAUGGAGUCUAUUUUUUUAAGAUGAAAUCCCCUCUAAAUGUUAAUGUUUUAUUUUUUUUCUUUCUUUUUCAUCAUUUCCUAGUUAUUUGUGUUUCUCAUAGGCUUGGUCUCAUCCCUUCGACUUGCAUUUGUUUGUGUUCAUUGCUAUUAAACAACAUUUUUUUUAAAUGUAUGGAGUCUUUUUUGUUACGUCUAGAGAUGUUGAUUUGCUUGUUUUCAUUCCGUUUUAGGUGUUGAUUUGUUUGCGUUCAUUCCUUUUUAGGUGUUGAUUUGUUUGUGUUCAUUCCUUUUUAGCAUUUGGAGGCCUCAAGAAUGGUUGAGGAUUAAAAUCUGGAAGUGUUUAGAACGACCAAUAAUUCAGGAUAACCUAAUUUCAUUAGUUUCCUUUCCAUUUGAUUUCUUGAGAUUUGAUCACGAAGAAUAAGGAUUGAAUUGUCAUUUGUUUUUAUGAUGUCUUUCUUUGUUUUGAAUGUCUUAUUGUCUCUAUACUUCAACUCUAUGAGCCGUUGUAGCCUUCCUGAAUUCUUGGGGUGUACAGUACAGGACAAACAUGCAACAGAUGUUACGUAGGACAGAUGUGAGUAUCCUUAAAGCUCUAGGUUUUGGUAUCCACACAUAUUUUUGUCUUUAAUUGGGACUGGCUAUUUGAAUUUCUCUGGUUUUUGAAUUCCUUCAAUUCAUCUUAUGCUUUCUUAACUUCUUGGUCUUUAUUACCAAUAUCUAUUUUUAUUUAAAUAUAGUUCUUAAAUUUUUUAUGUCUAGGUGUUGAUUCGUUUGUGUUCAUUUCUUUUUAGCAUGUAAGACUGGUUAAGGAUUAAAAUCUGCUAGUGUACACGAAAAACAAGCCACGGAUGUGAGGUAGGAUAUCUAAAUACUGGAAGGAGAUGCUUGAUUCUGUAGGUUAUCCAUAAUCUUUGAUGACAGAUGCUUACUUGAGUUUGGAUGUAGUUAUUUAUUUGAUGAAAGAGAUCUAUCAUAUGUAACUUUGUGUUAGUUCCUUUUCAGCAGGGGAUUCUGGUUGAGGAUUAAAAAACAUAAAUUUGAAUAUUGAUUUUGUUUGAUUAUUGAAAUAUGACAAAUCUAGCUGUUUGAUCUUUGAAUAUGUUGAUUCUUUUUAGCAAAUCAUAGGUUAGUAAUAAUAAAAUGCUCAGGGAAGAUGUCUCCCCUUUACUUGAAACAUUGUAGAUAGAGCAUAUUUUUCCAGACUGAUAUGCGAGGUAGGGUGUGGAAACACUUCCCAGGGGAUUUGUGAAGCUUUAGGUUGUUACCUGUUAGAUAUUAUUAGAUAUUAUUAGAUAUUAUUAGAUAUUAUUAGAUAUAAUUAGAUAUUAUUUGAUAUUAUGAGAUAUUAUAGAUAUUGUUAGAUAUCUCAUAUUUAUGUAAUGGGCUUAGCCCAUAUGUUUCUUUUCCUAUAUAAACAUAACCCUAUGUGUUCAAUAUACACAAGGGAUUUACCCUAUUCUUUCUUUUCCUUUAAUAUUACCCUUACCAUUCUUGUGUCUUUAUUUGUGACUGACUAAACUUCUUGUUUGGAUUCUAAGUUUUGGUUGGAUUCAUUGCUAACAUUGUAGUUUGACUGGCAGUCUGGCAGUUCUUGUGGGUUUAGAGGUCGUGUAAUACUCUCUUUUUUAAGUUGUCCAUUUCUAAGUAAUUUAGGCUUCUCUUAGCUUUUACCAGUCCUGGAUUCAUAGUGAAAUUUGACCCUUUUACAUGGUGCAAUUGAAAUUAAGGAGAGAAUUAUUGAUCUUUAGUUUUCUAGUACUGAAUUAAUUUUGGAUUUGUUUUGGUGUAGCAAAUCUGAAAGGUCAUUUUCUUAGUUAUUACUUCAUUUACUAAAUAAUCAAGAGCAUUGGACAAUUUGAUUUUGUAGUGUUUUGUUUGCUGCAUUGACAAAUGAAUCUUGCAUUCUAUUGUUUUUAGGAGUUUUAGAUUACAUCCUGAAUAUGACAUGAUGAUCUCUUCUAUCUUCCAAAAUGAGAAUGAUCUGCAACAUUAGAGUUGUAUUUAGUUCUAUGUCCAAUGUGAGAAUGAGAAAAUUAAGAGCUCUAUUUAGUUUUAUCUCCAAUUAUCUCUAAUAUGAGAAUGAGAAACAACAGUAGUUGGAAUGUUUUCUUGCAAUCUUCCUGUGCUAUGAUUUAGUUCUCUCUCCAUAUAUGAGAAUAAGAAAAUGAGAAAGAGAAACAAGAUUAUUUGGAAUGUUUUGUAGUAAUCUUCUUGCACUAUGAUUCGGUUCUCUCCCAAUAUGCGAAUGAGAAACAACAAUAUUUGGAAAGUUUUGUCGUAAUCUUCUUGUGCUAUGAUUCGGUUCUGUCCCCAAUAUGCGAAUGAGAAGAUGAGAAACAACAGCUUAUGAGAGCUCCAUUUGGUUCUAUCUCCAAUAUGAGAAUGAGAAACAACAGUACAUGAGAGUUCUAUUUAGUUUUAUCUCUAAUACGAUAAAGAAGAGAAACAAAAGCAUUUGGAUUGUUCUCUUUGUAAUCUUCGUGUGCUAUGAGCAACGCCUCCCCUCGAGGCUAUGGUUACGGGUGAUGCCUCUCUAUUCCAACAUGAGAGCUCUAUAUAUUUUUUUGGGGUGGGGUCUCAAUUUAUGAUACCAUGUGGAAGCAGACACCAUAUUUUUGCCGUCUAUAUUUCUCAGCUCUUGCUGAUUUUGCCAUGCUGAACUUAGUUUUCUUGAAUUGCCAUUCUUCUUAAAUUUUUACAGUAAAGCAAUAGAUAUGUGGGGGCAGGUUUUGGAAACAUUGUAUGGAGAUCUGGUGAAACUUUAGAUUUUAUUAUCUUUGCAUAUUCAUCAUUUUCUUUGAUGGCUAAACUUGUGGAUUGGGAGUUCUUGUAAACAGGCACUAUGUGAGUUUGAGAGGCUUUGGCAAUUGUGUUGUUAGGCCUUCGAUCCUGGUGAUUUGAUAAUCUGUUGCAGUGAAGACUUUAUGGAUGUCUGUUACCCAAAUUACGGUACAUUAUUGGACUUACAUUUCCAUUUCACUAUUUUUUUUAUAUCCUUGAUUUGGUUGUGGUAUCUCUUAUUGGUUGAAUAGUGGGAAGGCACAUGUGAAUCUUAUGAUGUAUUGCCUUUAAUAGUUUUUGCUGUUGGAAAAAUAAUCUAGAAGUCCUUUCUUAGCAAAUUAUUCUCAUUAUUGUAGAAAUUCUAUAACAUUUAUUCAGGUUUUACUUUCUACAAUUAGUUUAUUUUUAUCCACUCCGAUAACUAAUUAAAUAUUUACUUUCUCUAGAAAGUAGACUAUGUGAUUGAUAUAUUUUAAUGUUAUUCAUAAAUUAGUUCUUUAUAUUAAUCAUUACAAAAAUGUUUGGUAUACACUCAUAUUUAUCAUAUUGCCUUCAAGUAGAAAGGUAUUUGUAUAGGGCAAUUGCUUCCUCCCCCAAUCAAUUUUGACUAGCAUUCAAUAGAAGUUUUAAAACUUCAUUAUGCCUUUUUCACGGCUUACGAAUGCCAAUAUCCAAAAGUGACAUAUUUGCCUAUGGAUAUUGCCAUUUGGAAGUGAUAGUUUUGCCUACGGAUAUUAACAUUCGAAAGUGUCAGUUUUGCCUACGGAUAUUGACAUUUGGAAGUGUCAGUUUUGCCUACGGACAUUGGCAUCUGGAACUGGCACUCUUUGAUUGCGUUCAUUUUUAUCCGAAAGGCACUAUCAUUUUUCUUAAUAUACAUAUCAGGAAGCCAAUCAUCCUUAACUUUUUUUUUUGGCAGUGUAAUGAUUUUGUUACUUUUAAUGGAUUAAAACCACUAAACCGAACCAAUUUAAAGAAUAAAAGUAAAAUCAACAUUAAAAUUUGUUACUUGCUUUUUAUUAUAAAAUAUUUAUAUUAUCAUUUAUAUAUUUUCAAAUGCAUUAACCAUUGAUGACAUAUAGAACAUUGUUGAGAGUAGAAAAAAAGCACCCAAUAAACACAUUUUGGAUUUUCAAAAUGGGACCUGAUGAAAAAGACUUUCGUGGUGCAUAUGGAUGUUUAUAUUCAUAACUCAUAACACAAUUACGGACAAAAAUAUUCAGAACCCGUGAGAAGCGUGAAGCGACACGUCUCCUUUUCUGGUGUCUUUGCUUUCUGUCGUUGUUGAAGUGGCUCAAAAGCGUUGCUUGCGUGUGUGUAAGACUUUCGGAAGAGAAUGUCUACAAGAAACAAUGAAUGACCUUCUGCACUGUGCUUGAUUGUGGGGUGUAUGGAACCUAAUUUCACUCAUUAAGGGUGUCAUGGUAAUUUCAUAUAGAUCAUUAAGGGUGUUAUGGUAAUUUCAAACAGAAAAUUGGGUGUUAGUUAGAAUUGAUUGGGUGCAGGAGAGUCAGCUUUGUGUAGCAAUAAAAAGUCACAAAGAAAUCUAUUCAACUCUAAAAGGUUGUGAUAUUUAACACCACAAAGAGUAAAAAACAUUCACAAAUUAAUAAAAUAAUAUUUUAAUCAUAUUUAAUUUAUUUUUAUUUUUAAAUAUUAUUAUAUUAUUAUAAUGAGAUGUUAAGUAUACGUUUUUACAUGGUGUCAAAAAAUUAUUUUCCUAUUCUAAAAGAACUUAGACAAAUGUCUUAUUAUAAUAAAACUAAUAAUGUGGAAAAUAUUUUAAAAAACACUAAUAAAAGAAAUAAGUUUAUUUUUCAAAUUGAAGUCAAAUUAAGAUUAAAACAAUCUUAAAAUUUAAUUAUAUUGACUAAAAAGUUAAUAAAAACAAAACAAUAUUUACAAGAUAUUUUUAAAUAUCUUUAAAAUAAUAACUGCAAAUUUGUUUCCCCUGUUUUGUGUCAGCGGUUUGUUAUAAGAUAAGGAUGAAAAUCUUAAUUGCAUAUUUUCACCUCACCGCGUAAUAUAAGCUGUCAAUCUUGACCCUCCCUUUCUAUAUAUACCCGAAGAUCUUAUUGAGUUUAUCAUAUUGAGUUUUGUUGGUAUUGGUUCCGUGAUUGAGUUUUGUUAGUACUGAUUGGGGGUGAUUGUUGUGCUUCUUAUUAUCAAGUCUCCGUGGUUUCGUCGAAUUAUAUCAUGUUUGCUAUCAUCGAUGUGGUUUUGAUGUGGUUUUGUCGGAUUGAAGAAUGCAAGAAUCUUUUAUAGGAUUGAAGAACGCCAAUUCUGAAUAUGAUUCUUUAUGUGAUGAUGACAAGUUUUGAAUCUUUUGAUCAAAUUCCUUUAUCCCUUUUCUGCUGGUGACGGGGUCUUUGAGUAUUUUCUUCUACUUUCCUUUCUAUUAUUUGAUUUAUCUGGUAUUGAUCACGAAAAUAAGGAUUGGACUAUGAUUUGUUUAUCUGCAGUGGUGUAACACGUUUCUUAGUUAGUUUUCUUGAUUUUUGGGCUGUACAGGGAAGACACGCAAUGGAUGUGAAAUGAAGUAUUAUGUUUUCUUGACUUCUUAUGGGUUUAUUCGUGACUGAUUAUUGGAUUUCGUAGCCUAACUUGGUGUUUAUGUUCACUCCCCUUCAGCAAUUCGAGUUUCUGAGAUUUGAAACCCUAAAAAGUUUGAAACGGUUGCAGCUCAGGACAUCCCAAUUCUCUCUAUCUAUUGUUUAAUUUCUCUCUACUUUAUCUCCAAGGAUUGAAUUGUGUUCGACGUUUGAAUUAUUUUCCCUUAAUGUUAUGAGGCCCCAAGGGUUGAAUUGGUGUUUGAAUUAUUUUUUUCGCUUAAUGUCCUGCAGAGUAUGUUAUGAGACAUAAGGGCUGAAUUGUGAUUUGUUUCCUGUUUGGAUGAUUUGCAUAGCAUCUUAUAGAAUAUGAAUGGUUUGGUUUUCGCACGGUUCUCGCGAGUAUGUUAUAGCCACCAUUCUUCCUUGGUUUUUAAGUCUUCAAUUUAUCUUAUCGUUCUAUACUUCAUCCUCGAUUACCAGUUAUACUUUGUUGAAUUAUUGUUCUUUACAGGGAUGAGUGGGGAUAAGACAGGGAUGUGUGGGUAGGACGUUCCUCGUGGUUGGUUGAAAAUGGUGGAUGAGCCAUGCUCGACGGUAUGAAAAACACAACGACAAUGGGCUCGACAUAACCGAAGUCUUUUUUGAGUUUUCCUUCUAUUUUUCUUCAACAUAAGGAUAUGAUUUGUUUAUCUGCAGUGGUGUUUUGAACCUUUUGCGUAAAUUUCUUUGCUCCUUUUCAGUUGGUGGCCGAUUCUCUGGCGUUUCUUUAGCUUUUGGAUGAUUUGAAAACUAGAACGACCAAGAGCUAGGCAUAACCUAAGUCUUUGUUGAGUUUCCCUUCUUUAACUUUUUUUUCUGCUAUUGAUCACAGUACAUAAGGAUUGAACUAUGAUUUGUUUAUCUGCAGUGGUGUUUGGAUUAGUUGGGUAACGACACAUACUCAUCUUAUCAUGUUCCUAUAACUAGUAAAUUCAUUUACUGAAUUUUGAGUAUAAUUGUCUAUUUGAGUAUGACGAGUUUUAUACCUUUUGCGUAAAUUUCUUUUCAGCUGGUGGCUGGUUUUUUGGUAUUUCUUUUGCCUAUGGAUGAUAUGGAAAGCACAACGACCAAGGGCUCGACAUAACCUUAAGUCUUUUUUUAGUUUCCCUUCUAUUUUUGUUAUGGUAUUGCAUAAGGAUUGAACUAUGAUUUGUUUAUCUGCAGUGGUGUUUGGAUUAGUUGGGUAACGUCACAUAUUAAUCUUAUCAAGUUUCUAUAAUUAGUAAAUUCAUUUAUGUCUAUAUGAGAAUGACGAGUUUUGAACCUUCUGCGUAAAUUUCUUUGCACCUUUUCAGCUGGAGUUCUCUGUCAUUUCUUUCUCCUAUGGAUGAUAUGAAAAGCAGAAGGACCAAGGGGCUCGACAUAACCUAAGUCUUUUUUGACUUUUUUUUUCUAUUUUUCUUUUUCCUGGUAUUGAUGACAGUACAUAAGGAUUGAACUAUAAUUUGGUUAUCUGCAGUGGUGUUAGGAUUAGUUGGAUAACGACGCAUAUUCAUCUUACAAGUUGCUAUAACUAGUAAAUUCAUUUAUGUGAAUUUUGAGUAUAAUUCUCUAUUUGAGUUUGACAAGUUUUAAACCUUUUGCGUAAAUUUAGUUUCAGCUGGUGGCUGGUUUUUUUGCCUUUCUGUUGCCUAUGGAUGAUAUGAAAAGCACAAUGACCAACGGGCUCGUCAUAACCUAAGUCUUUUUUGAGUUUUCCUUCUUUUUUUCUUUUUCCUGGUAUUGUUCACAGUACAUAAGGAUUAAACUAUGGUUUUGUUUAUCUGCAGUGGUAUUUGGAUUAGAUGGGUAACAACGCAUAUUCAUCGUAUCAAGUUUCUAUAACUAGUAAAUUCAUUUACGUCAAUUUUGACUAUAGUUCUCUAUUUGAGUUGACACUAUAGUUCUUUAUUUGAGUAUGACGAGGAAAAUUACUUAAAUUUCUUUUCAGCUGAUCAAGGGCUCAACAUAACCUUAAAUCUUUUUUGACUUUCCCUUUUAUUAUUUUUUUUAGGUAUUACAUAAGGAUUGAACUAUGAUUUGUUUAUCUGCAGUGGUGUUAUGAUUAGUUGGGUAACUUCACAGAUUCAUCUUAUCAAGUUUCUAUAAUUCAUUUAGGUGAAUUCUGAGUAUAAUUCACUAUUUGAGGAUGAUGAGUUUUGAACAUUUUGUGUAAAUUUCUUUGCAUAUUUUCAGUUAUUGGCUGGUUCUCUGGCAUUUCUUUUGCCUAUGAAUGAUAUGAGAAGCACAACGACCAAGGGGCUCAACAUAACCUAAGUCUUUUUUGAGUUUUCCUUAUAUUUUUCUUUUUACUAGUAAUAAUAACAGUACAUAAAGAUUGAACUAUGAUUUGUUUAUCUGCAGUGGUGUUUGGACUAGUUGGGUAACGACGCAGAUUCAUUUUAUCAAGUUUCUAUAACUAGUAAAUUCAUUUACGUGAAUUUUGAGUAAAAUUCUCUAUUUGAGUAUGACGAGGUUUAAACCUUAUGCGUAAAUUUCUUUUCAGCUGGUGGCUGGUUUUUUGGCAUUUCUUUUGCCUAUGGAUGAUAUGCAAAGCACAACGACCAAGGGCUCGAUAUAACCUUAAGUCUUUUUUGAGUUUCCCUUAUAUUAUUCGUUAAUGGUUUUACAUAAGGAUUGAACUAUGAUUUGUUUAUCUGCAGUGGUGUUUUGGAUUAGUUGGGUAACGUCGCAUAUUCCUCUUAUCAAGUUUCUAUAGUUAGUAAAUUCAUUUAUGUCUAUAUGAGGAUGACAAGUUUUGAACCUUCUGCGUAAAUUUCUUUGCACCUUUUCAGCUGGCGUUCUCUAGCAUUUCUUUCUCCUAUGGAUGAUAUGAAAAGCAGAAGGACCAAGGGGCUCAACAUAACCUAAGUCUUUUUUGAGUUUUUUUUUCUAUUUUUCUUUUUCCUGGUAUUGAUGACAGAACAUAAGGAUUGAACUAUGAUUUGUUUAUCUGCAGUGGUGUUUGGAUUAGUUGGAUAACGACGCAUAUUCAUCUUACAAGUUUCUAUAACUAGUAAAUUCAUUUACGUGAAUUUUGAGUAUAAUUCUCCAUUUGAGUGUGACGAGUUUUAAACCCUUUUUGUAAAUUUACUUUCAGCUGGUGCCUGGUUUUUUGGCCUUUCUGUUGCCUAUGGAUGAUAUGAAAAGCACAACAACCAAGGGCUCGACAAAACCUUAAGUCUUUUUUGAGUUUCCUUCUAUUUUUUUAUGGUACUACAUAAGAAUUGAACUAUAAUUUGUUUAUCUGCAGUGGUGUUUGGAUUUGUAUAACGUCACAUAUUCAUCUUAUCAAGUUUCUAUAAUUAGUAAAUUCAUUUAGGUCUAUAUGAGGAUGACGAGUUUUGAACCUUUUGCGUUAAUUUCUUUGCACCUUUUCAGCUGGAGUUGAGUUGUGAACUUGUUUGGAAGUUUUGCAUGUAAUCUCCUUUGAGCCUAGACUGCAAUGUCUCUUAUGCUGAAAUCUUUGAAAUCAGAAUAAUGAACCGGAGUGACAACAAUGCUCUAACGCUGAAAUUUUUGAAAUCAGUAUAAUAAUGAUCCUGAAAUUGUUUAAAUGCUUCACUUUUGUUUCAACAAUCUCCAUUUAUGUUUCUCAUUCUUCGAGUUUUGAAAUCAGCAUUUAUUUGUUUGCAGCACAUUUUGUCUUUAUUUGAGGUUUCUCUUUCAGAUUGUUAACUCAACCAGUGAUGGAAUAUAGUGGGACGGCUAACAUGUCUUAUCAACAAGUUUGAGUGUUUAUCCAAAACCAUUCCAUUCAUUUCUUUUUCAUAUUUGUACAAUUUGGAAAAGGAUUGUAUCCGAGAAAGAUAAUGGAGUUUUGGAGGUGAAUUUGUUAAUUUUAAUCAGAUUGACGAACGUCUCUUGGACAGGAUUUCGUCUCUAUUUGAUAUUUUCAGAUUUGAUCACCAAACAUAUGGAUUUUCUGUUGUCAUUUGUUUUUGUGCAGUGAUAUUUGCAUAAUGUUUCAUGCUACGUCUAAUCAAUCAUGUUGUUUGGAAGUUUGUAUGACUCUUGAUAACAGGCUUUACAAGAGUUUGGGAGGAUUAGUAAUUUCAGAGGUGAUACCUAUUAUCAUAUUUGUGUCUUGUAGUGUGAACUGUUCAAGUUUAUUCAUUUGCAAGAGGGAUCAAUUCUCCACUUUUGAUGCAGAAGAUUAGAUGGCUAACAUUAUUGUCCGUUCAUUUGAUCCAGCAAGAGCCCAUUCUAGAAAUGUGGUCUUCUCUUUAAAGGCCUUUAGUAUUUUACUAUCAUAAAUAGAUAUUAUUUCUGGUUCUAUUGUUUUGACUGAGAGGAAGUCACAAGUCUUGUUGAUAUAUGAUGAUCUCUUAUCAUUUCCCCUUAAUUCUUGGUUGUUGUUUUGACAGGGUAGGGUUUGGGGAGUCUGGGUUUUUGGAUUAGGAAUUGUCCAACCACCAACAAUGUGUGUACAAGUUUGAAAUAUAUGAAUGAAGGCUGUCAAGGAAAAUGAUUACAGCAAUGAAGGCUAAAAAAAAAAUUGCGGAAGCAGAGUCUCCUAGAUCAGGAUAUAUAUAUGCUAGAGUGGAAAGAAAUAGAUGAAAUAUAUUUCUGAGAUAUCUUACAAAUGUGAUUACAGUCUCUAUUUAUAGACUGUUUUACAACCUAAUUAAAGAAAGAAAUAAUAGGUGAUGAAAGCCAGAAAUAAAUAAUGAGUGUUUAAAGCUGUACAAAUCAAAUAAAAUAAAAUCACUAACAAAUCUGUACUAAUAAAUAUAAAAUGGAAUCUGCACUUAAUUAUAACAUAAUUCUCCUGAUUAUGCAACAGU
rnacentral:lncRNA from 1 species